rnacentral:misc_RNA from 1 species
UGUUAUGAGAACUGUGAGAAACACAGUGGACACAGGGAGAACUGUUGUCUGCACAAUACAUCAACCAAGUAUCGAUAUAUUUGAAGCAUUUGAUGAGCUGCUUCUUAUGAAAAGAGGCGGGCAAGUAAUCUAUGCAGGCCCAUUAGGUCGACAUUCUCAGAAAAUUAUUGAUUAUUUUGAGGCAAUUCCAGGAGUUCAAAAAAUUAAAGAGAAGUAUAAUCCAGCUACCUGGAUGCUAGAGGCCAGUUCAAUUUCCUCAGAAACUCGACUAGGAAUGGAUUUUGCUGAAUACUACAGAUCAUCUGCUUUGCAUCAAAGAAACAAGGCUCUUGUCAAUGAUUUGAGCACACCUCCUCCUGGAGCCAAAGACCUCUACUUUACCACACAAUAUUCCCAGCCCACAUGGGGCCAGUUCAAGUCCUGCUUCUGGAAACAAUGGUGGACUUACUGGAGAAGUCCAGACUAUAACCUUGUCAGAUUCUUCUUUAGUCUGGCUGCAGCACUAAUGAUAGGGACCAUUUUCUGGAACAUUGGCAGUAAAAUAGUUACUAGCGGUGAUCUAAUGAUAGUCAUCGGGGCAAUGUAUGCAGCUGUACUGUUUGUUGGAAUCAAUAAUUGUUCGACUGUACAGCCAAUUGUAGCCGUUGAGAGAACCGUCUUUUAUAGAGAAAGGGCUGCUGGGAUGUAUUCAGCAUUACCAUAUGCUAUGGCACAGGUAAUUGCAGAAAUACCAUACGUACUCAUCCAAACAACAUACUAUACUCUUAUAGUGUACGCUAUGAUUGGCUUUGAGUGGACGGCGGCUAAAUUCUUCUGGUUCUAUUUUGUAACCUUCUUCUCCUUCCUAUACUGGACAUACUAUGGAAUGAUGACUGUUUCCAUCACACCGAACCACCAAGUAGCUGCGAUCUUUGCUGCAGCAUUCUAUGCUCUCUUCAAUCUUUUCUCUGGUUUCUUCAUUCCCAGACCGAGAAUUCCCAAGUGGUGGAUAUGGUAUUACUGGAUCUGUCCAGUUGCAUGGACUGUUUAUGGUUGCAUUGUAUCACAGUAUGGUGAUGUGGAGGCUACUAUCAAAGUCCCAAAUAUGGCUCGAGACCCUAUGAUUAAGGACUACAUUAAAGAUCAUUUCGGAUACAAUCCAGACUUCAUGGGACCAGUUG